GGGCCACGCGCCAUGAUGGGAAGGUAAGGUCUUCUGGGGUCAGCUGGACUCAUAAGGCAGGAGGGACCUCAUCUUUCAGAGAAGGAAUGCCUAGAUUAUCAACAGAACUGUGCCCCAAGACCCAGAGAGACCUCCCUGCCCCAGUGCCUAUUAGAAUGACAAAAGGGGUGGACCCAAGCCCAGAUGACCAGGGCUCUGCCUGGAAGUGCCAGGCCAGGACCCUGGGUCUGUAGAGCCUCUGCCAUUGCAAAGGAUGAGCCAGAUGGAAAAAUUCAGCAUGGAGCUGUAUCCCUGAGCCAAGAGGGCACCCCCUUCCCCGUUGGGGGAGCGAUGGCUUGGGAACAAGCCCCCCGCCCCGUGCUCCAGUGCAUCUAGCUGCCUUUGGCCACCAUCCUGAAACAGCAGGGAGCAGGCUUCCUCUUUCCUCACACCCUGGAACCCAGUGAUUGCUGACCAGGAAGCAGAACAACAGAGCUCAGACAGCGAAAGCCUCCCCAUCCCAGCUGUAUGCAAAUUCCCAGCAGGCUGAAAGGACCACCCGCCCACCCAAGACCACCUCCCAGGAAGCCGAGGCCUUGUGUGCAGCCCCAGAGGAGCUUGAGCUGAACGGAGAAUGGGUUGAGGUGGGUGGGACCCAUCACUGUUCUUCCCUUCUCAUUCCUGCGCGUUCCCUGAAGAGUCUCUGGGGCCUGCUUUUCCCCCCAGCAGAGACGGAUGUGUCACAUUUAUGGCAUCCCAUUUCCUUCACAGAGAGGCUAUAGAUCCUGUUUCAUUCUGGUGUAUUUAAUUCACUCCAUAGGAAUCAAUAAAAACUUUAAAUUAAAAAAAAGGCAAA
rnacentral:lncRNA from 1 species